rnacentral:rRNA from 1 species
UCCUGGCUUAGGACGAACGCUGGCGGCGUGCCUAACACAUGCAAGUCGAACGGACGAGGGGAGCUUGCUCCCCAAGUUAGUGGCGGACGGGUGAGUAACGCGUGGGUAACCUGCCUUAUACAGGGGGAUAACAGUUAGAAAUGACUGCUAAUACCGCAUAAGCGCACAGUAUCGCAUGAUACAGUGUGAAAAGCCGAGACGGUAUAAGAUGGACCCGCGUCUGAUUAGCCAGUUGGCAGGGUAACGGCCUACCAAAGCAACGAUCAGUAGCCGGCCUGAGAGGGUGAACGGCCACAUUGGGACUGAGACACGGCCCAGACUCCUACGGGAGGCAGCAGUAGGGAAUUUUCGGCAAUGGACGAAAGUCUGACCGAGCAACGCCGCCGUGAGUGAAGAAGGUUUUCGGAUUGUAAAGCUCUGUUGUAAGGGAAGAACAGCACGGAAAGAAUCCGUGAAUGACGGUACCUUACCAGAAAGCCACGGCUAACUACGUGCCAGCCGCCGC